rnacentral:rRNA from 1 species
CCUACGGGAGGCAGCAGUGGGGAAUAUUGGACAAUGGGGGGAACCCUGAUCCAGCGACGCCGCGUGAGUGAAGAAGUAUUUCGGUAUGUAAAGCUCUAUCAGCAGGGAAGAAAGACAUGACGGUACCUGACUACUAAGCCCCGGCUAACUACGUGCCAGCAGCCGCGGUAAUACGUAGGGGGCAAGCGUUAUCCGGAUUUACUGGGUGUAAAGGGAGCGUAGACGGCGAUGCAAGUCUGAAGUGAAAGGCGGGGGCCCAACCCCCGGACUGCUUUGGAAACUGUAUGGCUGGAGUGCAGGAGAGGUAAGUGGAAUUCCUAGUGUAGCGGUGAAAUGCGUAGAUAUUAGGAGGAACACCAGUGGCGAAGGCGGCUUACUGGACUGUAACUGACGUUGAGGCUCGAAAGCGUGGGGAGCAAACAGGAUUAGAUACCCCUGUAGUC